rnacentral:rRNA from 1 species
GGUUAAGCGACUAAGCGUACACGGUGGAUGCCCUGGCAGUCAGAGGCGAUGAAGGACGUGCUAAUCUGCGAUAAGCGUCGGUAAGGUGAUAUGAACCGUUAUAACCGGCGAUUUCCGAAUGGGGAAACCCAGUGUGAUUCGUCACACUAUCAUUAACUGAAUCCAUAGGUUAAUGAGGCGAACCGGGGGAACUGAAACAUCUAAGUACCCCGAGGAAAAGAAAUCAACCGAGAUUCCCCCAGUAGCGGCGAGCGAACGGGGAGCAGCCCAGAGCCUGAAUCAGUGUGUGUGUUAGUGGAAGCGUCUGGAAAGGCGCGCGAUACAGGGUGACAGCCCCGUACACAAAAAUGCACAUGCUGUGAGCUCGAUGAGUAGGGCGGGACACGUGGUAUCCUGUCUGAAUAUGGGGGGACCAUCCUCCAAGGCUAAAUACUCCUGACUGACCGAUAGUGAACCAGUACCGUGAGGGAAAGGCGAAAAGAACCCCGGCGAGGGGAGUGAAAAAGAACCUGAAACCGUGUACGUACAAGCAGUGGGAGCACGCUUAGGCGUGUGACUGCGUACCUUUUGUAUAAUGGGUCAGCGACUUAUAUUCUGUAGCAAGGUUAACCGAAUAGGGGAGCCGAAGGGAAACCGAGUCUUAACUGGGCGUUAAGUUGCAGGGUAUAGACCCGAAACCCGGUGAUCUAGCCAUGGGCAGGUUGAAGGUUGGGUAACACUAACUGGAGGACCGAACCGACUAAUGUUGAAAAAUUAGCGGAUGACUUGUGGCUGGGGGUGAAAGGCCAAUCAAACCGGGAGAUAGCUGGUUCUCCCCGAAAGCUAUUUAGGUAGCGCCUCGUGAAUUCAUCUCCGGGGGUAGAGCACUGUUUCGGCAAGGGGGUCAUCCCGACUUACCAACCCGAUGCAAACUGCGAAUACCGGAGAAUGUUAUCACGGGAGACACACGGCGGGUGCUAACGUCCGUCGUGAAGAGGGAAACAACCCAGACCGCCAGCUAAGGUCCCAAAGUCAUGGUUAAGUGGGAAACGAUGUGGGAAGGCCCAGACAGCCAGGAUGUUGGCUUAGAAGCAGCCAUCAUUUAAAGAAAGCGUAAUAGCUCACUGGUCGAGUCGGCCUGCGCGGAAGAUGUAACGGGGCUAAACCAUGCACCGAAGCUGCGGCAGCGACGCUUAUGCGUUGUUGGGUA